UACGUAGGGGGCAAGCGUUAUCCGGAUUUACUGGGUGUAAAGGGGGCGCAGACGGCGAUGCAAGCCAGGAGUGAAAGCCCGGGGCCCAACCCCGGGACUGCUCUUGGAACUGCGUGGCUGGAGUGCAGGAGGGGCAGGCGGAAUUCCUGGUGUAGCGGUGAAAUGCGUAGAUAUCAAGAGGAACACCGGUGGCGAAGGCGGCCUGCUGGACUGCAACUGACGUUGAGGCCCGAAAGCGUGGGGAGCAAACAGG
rnacentral:rRNA from 1 species